AUUGAACGCUGGCGGCAUGCUUUAUACAUGCAAGUCGAACGGAAACCGGCUGGAUGGUGGCGAUGAGUGGCGAAGGGUGGCGUAAUGCAUCGUAACGCGUGCGGACGCGGGGGCAUAGUAGUCGAUAGCAUACCUAAACCCGUGCACGUACUACGGAUGAAAUAGGGUGACAGUAUGCCGUCGCGCGAUUGGACGCGAGCUUGCGCGAAUAGGUGGACCGUUGGGUCAUUAGCUAGUUGGUAGGGUAAAGGCUCACCAAGGCGACGAUGUAUAGCCGACCUGAGAGGACGACCAGCCACACUGGGACUGAGACACGGCCCAGACUCCUACGGGAGGCAGCAGUAGGGAAUUUUGGACAAUGGGCGCAAGCCUGAUCCAGCAACGCCACGUGAGUGAAGAAGGCCUUCGGAUUGUAAACUGCUGUUGUACGGAACGAAACGGCUCUGGUGAAUACCCGAGGCUAAUGACGGUACCGUAAGAAAAAGCACCGGCUAACUACGUG
rnacentral:rRNA from 1 species